GCACAAGCGGUGGAGCAUGUGGUUUAAUUCGACGCAACGCGAAGAACCUUACCUGGGCUCGAAAUGUAGUGGACCGGGGUAGAAAUAUCCCUUCCUAGCAAUAGGCUGCUAUAUAGGUGCUGCAUGGCUGUCGUCAGCUCGUGUCGUGAGAUGUUGGGUUAAGUCCCGCAACGAGCGCAACCCUUAUUACCAGUUGCUACCAUUUAGUUGAGCACUCUGGUGAGACCGCCUCGGAUAACGGGGAGGAAGGCGGGGAUGACGUCAAGUCCUCAUGGCCUUUAUGUCCAGGGCUACACACGUGCUACAAUGGUCGGUACAAACCGUCGCAAACCCGCGAGGGGGAGCUAAUCGGAAAAAGCCGACCUCAGUUCGGAUUGCAGUCUGCAACUCGACUGCAUGAAGCUGGAAUCGCUAGUAAUCGCGGAUCAGAACGCCGCGGUGAAUACGUUCCCGGGC
rnacentral:rRNA from 1 species